AUCGAACGCUGGCGGCAGGCCUAACACAUGCAAGUCGAACGAGUGGCGGACGGGUGAGUAAUGUCUGGGAAACUGCCCGAUGGAUGGGGAUAACUACUGGAAACGGUAGCUAAUACCGCCUACCAUCGGAUGUGCCCAGAUGGGCUUAGCUAGUAGGUGGGGUAACGGCGCACCUAGGCGACGAUCCCUAGCGGGUCUGAGAGGAUGACCAGCCAAAUUGGAACUGAGAAACGGUCCAUACUCCUACGGGAGGCAGCAGUGGGGAAUAUUGCACAAUGGGGGAAAGCCUGAUGGAGCAACGCCGCGUGUAUGAAGAAGGCCUUCGGGGUGUAAAGUACUGUCAGCGAGGAGGCGUUACCCGCAGAAGAAGCACCGGCUAACUCCGUGCCAGCAGCCGCGGUAAUAC
rnacentral:rRNA from 1 species